rnacentral:rRNA from 1 species
AUGUGUAUCUCAAAAAAAGAAGGUGGGAUGGGCUUCAGAGAUCUACACUGCUUUAAUCAAGCUUUGCUAGCUAAACAGUGUUGGAGGUUAUUAAGUGACCCAGAUUCGCUUUGUGCCUAGGUAUUAAGAGCGAAGUACUAUCCGAAUGGGGAUUUAUUAAACACAACCUUGAGGAAAGGGGCAUCUUUUACCUGACAAAGUAUCAUGUCAGGAUUGAAAACUUUCAAGAGGGGGUCUCUUUGGAGACUAGGCAAUGGCGAAUCGAUUAAUAUCUAGUCGGACCAGUGGAUUCCUUCGAGUCAUGACAGGAAAAUAAUGACACCAAGAGGACAAUGUUUGCUGACCUCGGUGAAAGAAAUCAUUAACCCAGUCAUGGGAGACUGGGUCGAGGAGUUACUUAGGGAUAAUUUUUGGCCUGUGGACGUUGAGAAGAUCCUGCAAGUUCCUCUUCCAUCUCACGGACAACCAGAAUUUAUUGCCUGGCAGUUUGCAAAUUCAGGAUGCUUCACAGUUAAAUCUGCUUAUCAUGCUGAAUGGCGUGCUACAUACCGCACUAGAGCCCGGCUAGACCAUGUUGUGGACGGUGUUGUGCCACACCCGGUUUGGAAGAAGGUGUGGGUUAGUUGUGUUCCACCAAAAGUGCAAGUCUUCACCUGGAGAGCCUUGCAUGGGAUCAUACCAUGUUAAUAUACUUUGAGUGAUCGCCAUAUGAAAUCACCCAUUGUCUAUCCGGGGUGUAAAGUGGAACCAGAAGAUUUGAGGCAUAUGGUGUUCACAUGCCCAAGGGCAAGGGAGGUUUGGUCCAGUCUGGGAAUGGAAAACAGUGUG